AUUGAACGCUGGCGGCAUGCCUUACACAUGCAAGUCGAACGGCAGCACGGAGCUUGCUCUGGUGGCGAGUGGCGAACGGGUGAGUAAUAUAUCGGAACGUACCCAAGAGUGGGGGAUAACGUAGCGAAAGUUACGCUAAUACCGCAUACGAUCUAAGGAUGAAAGCAGGGGACCGCAAGGCCUUGUGCUCCUGGAGCGGCCGAUAUCUGAUUAGCUAGUUGGUGAGGUAAAGGCUCACCAAGGCAUCGAUCAGUAGCUGGUCUGAGAGGACGACCAGCCACACUGGAACUGAGACACGGUCCAGACUCCUACGGGAGGCAGCAGUGGGGAAUUUUGGACAAUGGGGGCAACCCUGAUCCAGCAAGGCCGCGUGAGUGAAGAAGGCCUUCGGGUUGUAAAGCCCUUUUGUCAGGGAAGAAACGGUCGUGGCUAAUAUCCAUGGCUAAUGACGGUACCUGAAGAAUAAGCACCGGCUAAUUACGUGCCAGCCGCCGCCGUAAGAC
rnacentral:rRNA from 1 species